UACGUAGGGUGCAAGCGUUGUCCGGAAUUAUUGGGCGUAAAGAGCUCGUAGGCGGUUAGUCGCGUCUGCUGUGAAAACUCGGGGCUUAACUCCGGGCCUGCAGUGGGUACGGGCUGACUAGAGUGCGGUAGGGGAGACUGGAAUUCCUGGUGUAGCGGUGAAAUGCGCAGAUAUCAGGAGGAACACCGGUGGCGAAGGCGGCCAUCUGGACCGCAACUGACGCUGAGGCGCGAAAGCGUGGGGAGCAAACAGG
rnacentral:rRNA from 1 species